GACGAACGCUGGCGGCGUGCUUAACACAUGCAAGUCGAACGGAAAGGCCCUGCUUUUGGGGGGUGCUCGAGUGGCGAACGGGUGAGUAACACGUGAGUAACCUGCCCUUGACUUUGGGAUAACUUCAGGAAACUGGGGCUAAUACCCGAUAGGAGCUCCUGCUGCAUGGUGGGGGUUGGAAAGUUUCGGCGGUUGGGGAUGGACUCGCGGCUUAUCAGCUUGUUGGUGGGGUAGUGGCUUACCAAGGCUUUGACGGGUAGCCGGCCUGAGAGGGUGACCGGCCACAUUGGGACUGAGAUACGGCCCAGACUCCUACGGGAGGCAGCAGUGGGGAAUAUUGCACAAUGGGCGGAAGCCUGAUGCAGCAACGCCGCGUGCGGGAUGACGGCCUUCGGGUUGUAAACCGCUUUCGCCUGUGACGAAGCGUGAGUGACGGUAAUGGGUAAAGAAGCACCGGCUAACUACGUG
rnacentral:rRNA from 1 species